GCAAUCUCCAGGAGUUAUUGUAAUUCAAUAAAAUACAAAAGAAUUCAAGCCCAUUCGGCUAGAAAAGACAUACAAGCAGCUCCUAAGAAAAGAGAAGCAUUAGCUCCUAAUUGAAUUCUGAAACUGUUUUGCAUUCUUGGGCUCUUGAAAUCUGCAGCUAGAAGAUCAACAAGUGCCAUAUAAAUCAAAAUCCCAGCUGAGGCUGAGUUGAAGAUUCCCUCAGCAAUUAGUGAAGUGGGACUAUUCUCUUUGUAAAAACUUGAUAUGCCAAUUCCAAUUGCAAUCCCUAGUGGAGUUGUGAGAGAAAAAUGUUGCCAUUAUUGCUGUACAUCUGGAUUUGAAUUUUGCCUCAAAUAUGCAACCAACAAGUCCCAUCCCCUCAAAGAACUGACGGAAAGACAAGGCUACCAAAAGAGGCUUUAUAGUUUCAGGAGUCUAAGCACCUAAAGAUAUUCCAAUUAUCACUGAGUGAACUACAAUCCCGACCUCCAAUACUUGGGAUGUAAUCCGGUGUCUGAUCAGCUGUGGCAAACCUAAAUCCUUAGAAAGGCAAGCAGAACCAUGGGCAUGACAUGAAUAGCAUAAGUAUGAACAUGUAAACGACCAGAAUGUUCAUCUUCUUCAGCUCUCUCUUCAUCCUCAUUUGCAUGUUUAUUCUUGUUGAAGUGAAGCCUCUUAUAAAAACCCGUCGCGAAUGAAUCCACCAUUAAUGUCUCAAUUGUAGACAUCAUAGCAACAAAACUAGUGAAUGGAAAAUUCCUGCAUGGAUUUUGCUCAAGGCAAGGAGAUGUUAGAUCAU
rnacentral:misc_RNA from 1 species